GUCAUCCCUAUUGGAGUCAAUAAAGGAGAACGGAAAGAGAGAUUCAAGACACACAAAGAGGAUAAACAUGGAGUUGAAGGCCAUGUGAAGAUGGAAGCAGAGACUGGAAUGAUGCAUCACCAUCAAGAAUUGCUGGCACCCACAAGAAGCUAGGAGAGAGGCGUGGGACAGAUUCUCCCUCUAAACCUCCAGAAGAAACCAACUCUGCUGACACUGUGAUUUCAGACUUCUGGUCCUCACAACUGUGAGAGAAUUCAUUUCUGUUGCUAUAAGCCACCAAAUUUGUGGUAACUUGUUCUGC
rnacentral:lncRNA from 10 species